GUGCUUGCUCUGGCAGCACACAUGCUGAAAUUGGGGCACUGCCGAGAAGAUCGACAUGGGCCCUGCACAAGGACAACAUGCAAGUUCAGGAGCAUUCCACUGUUUAU